CUUAAUGGCACCUAUACUAGCUCCAGAUUUAAUUCACCAACCAAAUUUAAUUCUGUGUGUAUCAGUUCUUCCACCUCAUGAACUUCAUCAAGUUCAAUUUUACAGGCAUUAGCUCCUUCACCAAGGAACUCCUUUUCUAAAAAGAUUGCCCGACUACUGACAAACACCUUUUGUUCUAUAGUGAGGUAGAAGUAGUACUUUUUAGUUUCCUUUGGAUAUCCUACGAACAAGCAUCUAUCAAGCUUCGAUCCAAGCUUAUUUGUCUUUAAACGCUUGACAUACGAUGGACACCCCUAGACCUUAAGGUGUGAGAGCAUUG
rnacentral:lncRNA from 1 species